CGGCGGACGGGUGAGUAACGCGUAGGAACCUACCUAAUAGACUGGGAUAGCCCAGAGAAAUUUGGAUUAAUACCGAAUACGCCCUACGGGGGAAAGCAGGGGAUCUUCGGACCUUGCGCUAUUAGAUGGGCCUGCGUGAGAUUAGCUAGUUGGUGGGGUAAAGGCCCACCAAGGCGACGAUCUCUAGCUGGUCUGAGAGGAUGAUCAGCCACACUGGAACUGAGACACGGUCCAG
rnacentral:rRNA from 1 species